UGGGGAAUAUUGCACAAUGGGCGCAAGCCUGAUGCAGCCAUGCCGCGUGUAUGAAGAAGGCCUUCGGGUUGUAAAGUACUUUCAGCGGGGAGGAAGGGGGUAAAGUUAAUACCUUUGCUCAUUGACGUUACCCGCAGAAGAAGCACCGGCUAACUCCGUGCCAGCAGCCGCGGUAAUACGGAGGGUGCAAGCGUUAAUCGGAAUUACUGGGCGUAAAGCGCACGCAGGCGGUUUGUUAAGUCAGAUGUGAAAUCCCCGGGCUCAACCUGGGAACUGCAUCUGAUACUGGCAAGCUUGAGUCUCGUAGAGGGGGGUAGAAUUCCAGGUGUAGCGGUGAAAUGCGUAGAGAUCUGGAGGAAUACCGGUGGCGAAGGCGGCCCCCUGGACGAAGACUGACGCUCAGGUGCGAAAGCGUGGGGAGCAAACA
rnacentral:rRNA from 1 species